AAGUCGUAACAAGGUUUCCGUAGGUGAACCUGCGGAAGGAUCAUUAACACGUUUCCAAUAAAACGUCCCAAACCAAAACUCUGUGAACUAGAGGUCUGCUAAAGUAUUCUUUCCACUCACUGUGGGGAAGAAAUAGCUGGGUUUUUCGGAACCUAAAAAGAUCUCGCAUUUUUCUUCUAAAUAUUUUAACCCCAAUAACAAAAAUGAUAAACUUUCGGGCUUGUCUUUUUUGUGUCUUUUAAUUUUUACUUCAAAAAUUAGGAGAAAUCCUAAUUUUCUAAGGGUAUCAGACUUUUGUAGUUUGAUUUUUCCUUAUGAACCAAAACGUUGAACAACUCUUAGCAACGGAUAUCUUGGUUCCC
rnacentral:misc_RNA from 1 species